UCUAAUCCAGGGCAAAUUUUACGAAAGUAAAAGACGCAAAGCUGCGGGCCUAAAGCAGGUUUCUGCCAUGGCAGCCGGGCUGCACAG
rnacentral:ncRNA from 1 species